CUGAAGCAGCAACGCCGCGUGAGGGAUGAAGGCCUUCGGGUUGUAAACCUCUUUUCUCAGGGAAGAUAAUGACGGUACCUGAGGAAUAAGCCACGGCUAACUACGUGCCAGCAGCCGCGGUAAUACGUAGGUGGCAAGCGUUGUCCGGAUUUACUGGGCGUAAAGAGCGCGCAGGCGGUUGAUUAAGUCGAAUGUGAAAGCCCCCGGCUUAACUGGGGAGGGUCAUUCGAUACUGGUCGACUUGAAGGCAGGAGAGGGUAGUGGAAUUCCCGGUGUAGUGGUGAAAUGCGUAGAUAUCGGGAGGAACACCAGUGGCGAAGGCGACUACCUGGCCUGUUCUUGACGCUGAGGCGCGAAAGCUGGGGGAGCAAACGGGAUUAGAUACCCCGGUAGUCCCAGCCGUAAACGAUGGACACUAGGUGUUGGUGGUAUCAACCCCGCCAGUGCCGUAGCUAACGCAUUAAGUGUCCCGCCUGGGGAGUACGGCCGCAAGGCUA
rnacentral:rRNA from 1 species